GGGCGGGCCUAACAUGCAGUCGAACGAUGAAGCCCAGCUUGCUGGGUGGAUUAGUGGCGAACGGGUGAGUAACACGUGAGCAACCUGCCCCUGACUCUGGGAUAAGCGCUGGAAACGGCGUCUAAUACUGGAUACGAGUAGCGAUCGCAUGGUCAGUUACUGGAAAGAUUUUUUGGUUGGGGAUGGGCUCGCGGCCUAUCAGCUUGUUGGUGAGGUAAUGGCUCACCAAGGCGUCGACGGGUAGCCGGCCUGAGAGGGUGACCGGCCACACUGGGACUGAGACACGGCCCAGACUCCUACGGGAGGCAGCAGUGGGGAAUAUUGCACAAUGGGCGGAAGCCUGAUGCAGCAACGCCGCGUGAGGGAUGACGGCCUUCGGGUUGUAAACCUCUUUUAGCAGGGAAGAAGCGAGAGUGACGGUACCUGCAGAAAAAGCGCCGGCUAACUACGUGCCAGCAGCCGCUUAAGCACGUGGGGCGCAAGCGUUAUCCGGAAUUAUUGGGCGUAAAGAGCUCGUAGGCGGUUUGUCGCGUCUGCUGUGAAAUCCCGAGGCUCAACCUCGGGCCUGCAGUGGGUACGGGCAGACUAGAGUGCGGUAGGGGAGAUUGGAAUUCCUGGUGUAGCGGUGGAAUGCGCAGAUAUCAGGAGGAACACCGAUGGCGAAGGCAGAUCUCUGGGCCGUAACUGACGCU
rnacentral:rRNA from 1 species